rnacentral:rRNA from 1 species
UACGUAGGGGGCAAGCGUUGUCCGGAAUCAUUGGGCGUAAAGAGCGUGUAGGCGGCCCGAUAAGUCCGCCGUGAAAGUCCAGGGCUCAACCCUGGAAUGCCGGUGGAAACUGUCGGGCUGGAGUCCGGAAGAGGCGAGUGGAAUUCCUGGUGUAGUGGUGGAAUGCGUAGAUAUCGGGAGGAACACCAGUGGCGAAGGCGGUUGCCUGGGGCUUUGCUGACGCUGAUGCGCGAAAGCGUGGGGAGCGAUCCGG